AGCAGAAGCGGUUGAGCACCGUGCGGCUGCGGCAGCCCUCCUCGCCCACCGUCUGCCGCAGCGGCUGCGUCUUGCACCAGUCACUCUUGAGAUGAGGAAGCUGAGGCAUUGCGAGACUUUGUAACUAACCCAGAUUGACAGCUGCUAGUAUGUGAAAUAUUUGAAUCCUUGCUUCCUGGCUCCAGGUCCUGUCGUCGUCAGGGGAAGCAGAGCUAAAACUCAGCUCGAUUUGGGGCAAAAGCUCUUGGAGUCCACAGUACUAGAUGUGGUGAUUACCAACAUGCAUUCUUUGAACACUUGAAAACAGUUUCAGAACAUCUGGCAGGCACCUGAGCAGUUCUGCCUCAUAAGCACCUAAGGAGGAAAGCAAACCACCCAUUUUCAGGAUGGGAAAAAGAGGUGGAGGAGGCUGGAAGGCUGGGGCCAAGCGGGUGUUUCUUUCCUUCCUCCUGCACAGUGUCUCUGGCAUCUCAGUGUCAGAGUCAAUAGGCAAGAGGCAUUUUGCUGCAGUGACUGGUAGGCUGUGAUCUCUUCACUGCAAGGAUGGGAAGGCAGCUGAGCCAGCUGCUGCCCUGGCCCAUUGUCCCCUUCUAGGUGGGUGGGGUUCCCUGGGGAGAGAACCACUGGCUUCUUUCUUCAGCUCACUGACCAUCCAUGCACACAUGUCAGUGGCCCCACCAGACCCUGAUUUUAGCCUUCCAGAGUCCUCUCUGCCUUGAGUCACUUUGCUACUCAGAGAAAUGGUUGGCAUGCAGUUACCCUCUCGGGAAUGCUGCCACCCUGCCAGUACAGACAGCACAGAGGUACUGCAUUUCACCAUGUAUCUUGUGUUUGGCUUGUAUCAGAAGAAACUGGUAAAUAAGUUCUGUUGGUGUUAUCCACCAUCCUGGUGGACUGACAAAGCGGUGAAUUAGCAAGGGUGUCAGAACCGAAUAUGCUGAGAGGCUAAGCAGCCUGGGUUGGUCAAAGCAGGCUAUGCAAAGAGGUAGCGAAGUGCUUCCCCUGGGGCUCGGCCUUUGUAGAUUCCAGAACCAGGGAGUCACAGGGCAGAGCAGUCUAGUAUUGAGGCUGCUAAAAAAUAACUAGCCCCUUCUGGAAGCUCUUCUUAAGAACUUUCAGGUUCUACAAUAGGAGCUUGAGAAUAAAGCUUCCUAAUUACUAGAAAAGGAUGUAGCAGUACUGAAUCAUAUUUACCAAAAGGUCUAUGCAGAUGACCAAAGGCCAAGGGUGCACUUAAGCUGGUUAACUCACUUGCAGUGACCUUGAUGAGUUUUAGAGGUCAGGUCAAGGUGUUCUGGGCCGCGCAUAAGUGGUGAAUGAUUUGGGGCUCAAACUUUUUCUGUGACGUUAGAAUUCUAAGGCAUGUUUGGAAGGUUGAAGGCAAGCACCCAGGGCUGAAUAUGGGCAGAUACAUCUAGGAUAAACUUCCUCCCAUGGCCCAAAUGAAAACAGAAUCAAAAACAAAGAACUCCAAACAAAAGCCCCCAAAAUGCUAGAAUUCAGAGAUUAGUUUUAUGAAUUUUACUACUAGAACUCAGUAAGCAAAGGUACUUCAUCCAUGACUGGGAUUCUUAGGCUGGGAGGGAGCUCCUGAACUAGACAUAGAUAUUCCUUGGCUCGAGACUGUCCUCUUACUGUAAGACUGCCUGUCUGCUGAAGCCACUUACCUUCAGCAACUGUAAUUUGUGGCACACAGUAGCCUGGGGCCAACCCAACCUGAGGUCUGUGUGUGUAAAUACAGUUGUAUUGAACACAGCUCCGCCCAUCUUAUUUACAUUUUCUCUGGCUGCUUUUGUGGGAGGACAGAGAAGGAGAGACAGAAACGCUAUUGCCCACCACAUAAAAAACAUUUACUAUCUGGCCUUUGACAAAACCGUUUUGCCAAACCCCGUUCCAAACCCUCCCUCUCCAAACCAGUUGUUGCCUUUUUUGCCUUUGGGCUCUCUUGCUGGAAAAGGAGACAAUUUCUAACUGAAACAUUUCAAACAUAGAGCAAGAGCGAACAUAGAACAAACCCUAUACACGCACCACCAAGAUUAAACCAAUAUUAAUAUUUCCCAUCUUUACUUUGCAAUCCCUUUUAGUUUUGAAUGAAAUAAAACAAUAUAGGUGAAGCUGUUUCAUCCUCCCCUCCUUCUACCUUCAUUGAGAUGACCUGCAUUCUGAGGUUGUUAGGUAUCAUUCCCGCUGAAGAGGCUUUUACUGCUUGUUUUGUGGAUGACUGUGUGUUUGUGUGCACAUGUUUAACCUUCACCUAAAUAGUACCAUGCUCUCCUUUUGUACCAUUUUCAUCCAAAAAUAAGUGUCUGAGAUUUUAUACGUGUGCAUAUUUUUAGAAGGAGUCUCUUCAUCUCUGCUGCUGAAUACCUGGCUGAAGGGCACUUAGGUUUCUUCUCCUUUUUCCCUAUUGCCAAUAGCACUGCUCUGAACAUUUUUGCAUGUGUUUAUGUCCAUCUGUUAAGAGUGUUUCUAGAGGAGACACCGAGAAUGGAAAUGCUGGGUCAUGGAAUAUGUACAACUUGAGCUUGACUAAGUUUUGCCAAGUCACUUUCCAAGUGCUGACCAGUCUUCUCCCCGGGGUAAUAUGUGAGUCCUGGGGCUGCACAUACUUGCUCACAGCUGGUGGUACCAGACUUAUUACUUUUUGCCUAUCUGAAAAAAUUGGAAUGGCAUCUUAUUAUUUCAAUUUGCACACUUCUGAUUACAAGAGAGUUGAUCACCAAGCUGAAAUGCAGUAGUUGUACUCUGAAAAGGAAAGAAGGCAACUUAUUCUAAGUAGAAGAGAGGAAUUAAAAUAUCAGGGAAAGAAAAAUAAGUACUAACUAUGUAUCUUCUGAACUGUCAUGAGAAGGAUAGGAAGUAGCUUGCAGUUUCAAAGCAGAGCUAUCAGGGCAUCCCACAUGACUCAGAGUUUAAAAUCCAAAUGUAUUCACUUACUUUUCCAAGUGACAUUUGCCUGAAUGGAACACUGACUAUCAUUUUGUUCCAGGAGAUGUUUAAUUUCAUCUGGAAAAAUCAUAUUAUGUUUUUAGAAAAGGUUUUCAACCAAAGAAGAAAUGAUACUGUCGUUACUUUGACUUCUGGAUAGCAAGCGUAUCAUUUGCAGGGUUCUUAAUCUUUGAAGAAAUUGUUUGGUUAAACUCAGUCUGAGAAACGUAGCACUGAGGCAAGAUGGGAGCAAAGCAUUAUGGUUAAUAAGAAUGGGUGAGAAAGUGCCUUGAGAGGUGUGAGCUUACACACGCAUGGCUGCUUUUCUCUAGAGCAGGCCCUCUGGGAGUGGGAGUGAGAAUGUGGUUUCUGGGGCUGGAGCUGCCCAUCUCGUGACCCUGCAUGACUCACUCCCAGGCUUCUCUGGGUUCCCCUCUGUAAAAUGGUGUUAAUGGCACUUACUACCCCCUGUUCUGAGUUGCUGUUAUGAGGAAUGUGGCACUGAGAUCAAGUCAUAGUCCAAGAACGCUCUGAGCAAAAGGAACCUUGAGUUCUUUUGAGAGGAAGGAAGAAAUUACGAGCGAUCCAUUAAGGAUUUUAUAGCCGGUAACAUUGUUCUCUGCUGCCGUGAGGUAGAACCUUUGACUUUUUUCAGGUGAAGAUGGUAGGCUGUUGCUCAAGGGACCCAUCCUGCUGCAGUGAGUCUGCACUGCCCACCCCACCUCCUCCCCUCCUGGGGCAGCCUUACAUGUUAAGGAUGAGCUUCUCAGACAGCAGACUUCUCCUCCGCAGUGGGCUAUAUAGAUUUUCUGUCUGAGUGUACAUGAAAACUAGAGUGGUCUGUCUCCAGGGCUGUAAACAAAACCAAAAACCCCGGCACUCAGCCCUUUCCAAUCAUGCCCCAUUCAGGCUUGUUCUUCAUUUUGCUCGGUGUGCAUAGGAAUGGUGACAAAACUGUGUGCCCACUUUUUACCAAUUCUGGAAUUCAUGACCAAAGUGUUCUUUCUUCUUUCUCUUUAGUCUUUCAAUCUCUUCUGAUUUUUCUUUCUCUGGCUUCUUCUUAAAGGUUGGUGUUCCCCGGGGGCCCUUCCAUAAUCCCAUUUUCUCAUUCCUCACAUUCCUACUAAGGAUUUCAUUUGUGCCUCUCACUUCGGCCACCGGCUAUCUGCUCAUGACUCCCAGACCCUUUGCCCAGCUGCCUACCGAACACUUUUGGAUGUCCUCUAGGCACCUCAAACUCCAUGCAUUCCAAAUCUCAUUUUCUUCUCUUCAGACAGUUCCUAUCCCAGUGAACAGCACAUUUAUCCUUGCACCCACCCUGGGGAGCUGAGCUAAGGCAGACCCUGUUACCUUACUACCCGAGUCCCAAAGUUCUCUUUCCUCUUUGCUAAAAGAGGCACAAUUUUGUUUGGAUAUUGGAGUCCAACUUCUUUAUGGGUGCUUCUUGAUACCAUGAGUGGGACUUGAUUGGUCCGAGCCAAUGACUUGACAAGAUGUAAGGAAUAGCUUCCUGGGAAAGAUGUUGACUCUCCCAUAAAAAGAGACAAGCCAGGAGAAAAUAUUGUUCCGGCUUUUGGUUGUGGUUAUGCAGGUGCUUGAUGUCAGGCAACGACAGCCGCCAUAAGGGUACAAGCAUGGGAUGAAAGUCAGGUUUUUGCAGUAUAAACCACAACAUGGAAGACAACUGGAUUCGUGAUUAUAUUGUUAAGCCAUUGAAUUAACCAUCCCUAGGAUGGCUUAUCUCUGACCUUCAUGUUUGUGAGUUAGCAAAUUCUUCAGUAUUUAAAUUGCUUUUAUUUGGAUACUGGAGAGCAUUCUACUUUAUCCUCUCAUAUAUUAAACCCAUUAGCAAGAACUUAACUAUCCCUCCUGCCUCACUGCCCAGCCCCACUGUUACUACUUUGGGUUAGGUCCUUACCACUUGAGUAUCACAAGCCUCCUUGUGAGCCUAUAAAUGUGUACUGUUACUUCUUUUGGCUGAAACCUUGUUUUGUGACUACUGCUGGGUAUUUUCAGUUUCAUUCAAAUGCCACGUCCUCUGUGAGAGCAAGCAUGUUCCCUGUGGUUUUCACUUCUGCCAUCGUCAUGCCUGGCUCCUUACAUCUGGUAGGCCACCAUGUGGCUGUUGUCGGCACGUCCCCCCAGGGGGACGUUACUGUAAGGCAGGCUAUUCAAUCUUCUUCCCACCUUGUCUUAUGAUAGGUCUGGAAAAUAGCUUUGAAUUCUAUGUCUGAAGGAAUAAAUGGAAGACUGGAUGAUCAAAUAGAUUUUACCUACACUGGUAUUAAUGUGAAUUUU